UACAGAGGGGGCAAGCGUUAUUCGGAAUUACUGGGCGUAAAGGGCUCGUAGGCGGCCAACUAAGUCAGACGUGAAAUCCCUCGGCUUAACCGGGGAACUGCGUCUGAUACUGGAUGGCUUGAGUUCGGGAGAGGGAUGCGGAAUUCCAGGUGUAGCGGUGAAAUGCGUAGAUAUCUGGAGGAACACCGGUGGCGAAGGCGGCAUCCUGGACCGAUACUGACGCUGAGGAGCGAAAGCCAGGGGAGCAAACGGG
rnacentral:rRNA from 1 species